UGGGGAAUAUUGGACAAUGGGCGCAAGCCUGAUCCAGCCAUGCCGCGUGAGUGAUGAAGGCCCUAGGGUUGUAAAGCUCUUUCACCGGUGAACAUAAUGACGGUAACCGGAGAAGAAGCCCCGGCUAACUUCGUGCCAGCAGCCGCGGUAAUACGAAGGGGGCUAGCGUUGUUCGGAUUUACUGGGCGUAAAGCGCACGUAGGCGGACUUUUAAGUCAGGGGUGAAAUCCCGGGGCUCAACCCCGGAACUGCCUUUGAUACUGGAAGUCUUGAGUAUGGUAGAGGUGAGUGGAAUUCCGAGUGUAGAGGUGAAAUUCGUAGAUAUUCGGAGGAACACCAGUGGCGAAGGCGGCUCACUGGACCAUUACUGACGCUGAGGUGCGAAAGCGUGGGGAGCAAACAGG
rnacentral:rRNA from 1 species